GGUCUUGUAGUUGAAUAACAACAGUAAAUUGCAAAUUUAAAAGUGUAAAUAUACCAAGACCU
rnacentral:tRNA from 1 species